UACGUAGGGUGCAAGCGUUAAUCGGAAUUACUGGGCGUAAAGCGUGCGCAGGCGGUUCGCUAAGACAGAUGUGAAAUCCCCGGGCUUAACCUGGGAACUGCAUUUGUGACUGGCGGGCUAGAGUGUGGCAGAGGGGGGUAGAAUUCCACGUGUAGCAGUGAAAUGCGUAGAUAUGUGGAGGAAUACCGAUGGCGAAGGCAGCCCCCUGGGAUGACACUGACGCUCAUGCACGAAAGCGUGGGGAGCAAACAGG
rnacentral:rRNA from 1 species